rnacentral:sRNA from 1 species
UGGACCCUGGGUCUAGCCAGUGUCCCUACCUCAGGCCUGCUCUCUCUUGUCCCCCACCUUCUGUCCUGUCCCCUUCCCAUCCAUCCACUUCUUCCAGACACAGCAGGAAGAGGCCCUCUGAAGGGGCCGCUGGCCCCCAGACACCAUCCUCACCCCCCCACCGACCCCGCAGUUUGUCCAGCUGUUCUGUUGUGUUUGUCCUGACUGCCCCAACACCUCAAGGGGGGUCUGGGCUGACGGCUCCAUUUCCUCCCCAGGAGCCAAGACCAAGGAGAAUGUUGUACAGAGCGUGACCUCAGUGGCCGAGAAGACUAAGGAGCAGGCCAACGCCGUGAGCGAGGCUGUGGUGAACAGCGUCAACACUGUGGCCACGAAGACCGUGGAGGAGGCAGAGAACAUCGCAGUCACCUCCGGGGUGGUGCGCAAGGAGGACUUGAAGCCAUCUGCCCCCCAACAGGAGGGUGAGGCAGCCAAAGAGAAAGAGGAAGUGGCAGAGGAGGCCCAGAGUGGGGGAGACUAGAGGGCUACAGGCCAGCGCAAAUGCCCUGAAGAGCGCUCCUCUGCCUUGGACACCAUCCCCUCCUAGCACAAAGAGUGCCCGCCUUGAGUGACCUGCGGCUGCCCACGCUCCUGCCCUUGUCUCCCUGGCCACCCUUGGCCUGUCCACCUGUGCUGCUGCACCAACCUCACUGCCCUCCCUGGGCCCUGCCUACCCUCUCGUCCUUCUGACCCCACAUAUGCUGCUGUGAAUUUUUUUUUUUAAUGAUUCCAAAUAAAACUUGAGCCCACUCCU